UAUCGCGUCAUGUGAAAACCUGACUUAAUGACAUUUACAACGUCAUCAAUAAAAUUGCGAAAUGAAAUAAUGUGCUUUGUGGAAUUUGCACAUGUUUUGCGCGCAAAGUUGUUUGUAUUUUGUUUAAUUCAAAAUGGAUUUUCGGUGAUAUGGACUAAGAGCUAGAUGUAGAUCUAAGGCACGCUCGCAGCCACGUGGACAGUGGCUUUGCCGCCAUUAAAAAGCGGUUUAGACGUUGCGAUGUCAGACGCUUGCACACCUGUCGGACGUCGUGAAUGAUUCAUCCAACUCCAACGCCUCCGUCCAAUACCCCCUGUGGCAGUGGGAUGAUUGGUGCGCUUUCCUGCAGCCAAAGAUCAGAGCUUUGCCGGGCAUUCGGAAAUAUCAGUACUUCAGAUUUGAACAACGGUGUCCCGGGUAUGUUUUCGCAAGGGAACGACAUGUAUCAGAAGAGACGAAGAUUCUUUUGACAUCAGAAUCCGGUUUCGUCGCAACGGAGAGACCGCGCACGCUCACAGCUGCAGGGUUGUCGGAGCAGCGUCGCGCUUACCUGACGAAGAAUGUCUCCCCCUACGUGUCCGCUUUGCAUCGUGAUGUGUUAGUGCAUCAGGAAGAUUGUGAUGUUUGAUUUGCACACACUUCACCAUACUCAACUUGGAGUAUUGAGAAAUAAAUGUCUCAAAAAAUAAUCGUGGAAGUGGAUAUUGUUGUGUUUCACCACUUCACGGAUUCAUUUACUUUUAUUAACUUAUCAUUUUUGAAUUUAAAUGAUAUAACUAUAUAAAACAGAAAACACAAAAAUAUUAACUUGCGAAACAAUGUUAUGAACACCAAAAAUACGCGACGUCAACGACGUCGUAUUAAAGAAAUUAAAAUUUUAAAUUCCGCAUAGUAUUUUUUCUAUCAAUGUCAAAAGAGUUGCAGAUUUGAAACCAGGAGAAAAAAAUCUGUAAGAAAAUGAUAAAAAGUAAAAAUCGAAAAUUUUGUCAUUAAGGCUGGUUUUCACAUGACGCGAUACAACAUUUAUAUAUAUAUAUAUUGUAUUUUAACACCCAUUUCAUAUUUAAUUUUUAUCUACGCACGCGAUUAAAACUAAAAUACAAUGAAUGUUUUGUUUUCAACUUAUCAUUAUUAGAACUAAGAACUCCUGUAUAUGGAUUAAGUGUACCCUGACAAUGAAGUCU